GGCUUAUAUUGGACACAGGUUUUGUUAUUCCUGCUGCUUUCAAAAUGCUGGUGCACAAGCCUACCAACUUCUGUGCUAUUUGCACCCUGUCAUCCUCAGCUUCCUUUAGUUUGUUUAUCAAUUGUUGUUCCUCAUCAAAAUUUAUAUAGGGACUUUUUCCAAUGGAAGCACGAUAAUGUGCAAGCUCUUCUUUUACUCGUGAAAGAAUGAUCUCCGUACGCUGCAGCUUAGCACUAAGAUCUUCAUUCUGAAGUUUUAGCAAAUUGUUCUCCUCCUUAAUUUUUGCAUGAUGAUGAAUGCGUUGCUGGAGGUUUUGCUGGCCAGACAGCUUCUUUACAUCAGCUUCAAGUUGCAUCACCCUUUUCUUAUUAUUUGCAUUCUCCGUCUGGAUGGUUUGAUGCAUUUAAUGUAAAGAGAAAAUACCAUUAAAAAGAGGCAAAAAUAGAGUUCUCCUUUAGUGCGAAGAUUAAUUCACUUGAAUCCACUUCAAAAGAAUAUUCCAAAUCAUAGACUAAAAUUUUAACCUUCAACAUUUCAUUUUCAGCUUGAAGUAACUGAUCUCGUUGCCGAAGCUUUUCCAAUGCUAUUUGUGCUGCAACCAUCUCAGCCUGUCUCCUAUCAAUUUCCUCUAGCCAUCUGGGAAAGAAAAUGUGCAAAUUCAUCAACACGCUGCAGACCAUUUUUGCCAGAGGCAAGCCAUUUAAUAUUUUGAAGCAAGAUAUGCUUACCCUCGCCUCUCCUCAAUAAAUUCAUUGAGCUGCUGUUUGAGCUUCAUGACCUCCUGCUGCUCCUGUAUGGCCAAGGGUCACAAUUAAGAUAAAAUAUCUAAUAGUUGCCCUAAUUUCACAUCACCAAAGUAAAGAAUACCUUAGGUUGAGGUUCGAAGCUAUUAAGUUGAGCUUUCUCUGCUAUCUUCUGUAGUUGCUGAUUAUCCAACAGUGACACAUAAUUUGUCAUAUCCAAUUUCACUCCCAAUAAAUCUCGAAUGACAUCAUGGGUCAUGCUCUCCGCAGCAGCUAAUCUUGCAUUCAAUGCAAAUAUCUCUUUUUGUCGACUCACAGCUAGGGAUUCUAGCUCUUCAAUAUGCAACCUAGCAGCUGUAAGCUCUUCAUCCCUCUCAGAUUUUAUUUGUUGUGCCAAACCCAAACCAAUGCAUUUGAAAGGGGAACCAGAACCCCUGGACUUGGCAGCAUUUUUCUCAAGUUUGUUUGAUGAAGAAUUUCCAAUGUGGGAGAAAUGGCCUUCAGGUUUUACUUGCUCAGUCAUUGCUUCCAAGGCCUUGAACUUCUCUUUGUAUUCGCUAGCCUGGGCUUCUGCAUGUAAAUUUAACUCAGAUAUAUGUGCCUUGCAUUGGGCAAUCUCUGCAUCUUUCUCAGCAAUAUCCCUCCCAAGAACUUGUAUGUGCUUCAGGGCUUCUUCUAGACCUUUCUCCUUCUCAUCUAAAUGCCUUUUAAUGUCAGUGUCAACACUUCUAAUUUUCUGCAUCUGAUGAUUUACAGCAUGAAGCUCGACUUCUAGCUCUUCUCUUUGCAAUCUUUGUCGUUCAGUUUCCCCAUUAAGAAUUUCAAACUUGUUUUCCAGUACAUUUAUAGUACAUUCUAGCUCCUCAACGGACCUCUCUAAUAGCUUUACCUCCACUUCCUUUUCUUCAGCAUAGACCUUCUUAGAUUCAGCUAUCUGUUGGGCCUCCAAUGCAAUAGCUUCAUUUUCUUCAGCCCAAGCCUGUGCCUUUUCAAGCUGUUCUUUCAAAUUAUGCAUCUCUGUGUGAAGCUGGUCUCUCUCAUUGGCAAGAUCAUCUAAGUUGUUUCUUAAAGAUUCAACUGUACUAUUCAUUUGGCCAAGAGCAUUGCCCAUCUGCGAGAGUUCCACUUCCAAGCUCUCAGUCAAAUUCUUUCUUUCUGUUAACUCCUCCUCAAGAGAAUUUUUUGCAGCCAAUGCUUCUUCUAUUUGUGCUCUCAGCUCCAGAUUUUCACAAGAACACAAUUUUAGAGACUCAUGUUCCUUUGCAAAAUCCAACUCAAGAGCAGAAAUGAUGCCCAUCUUCUCCUGCAACUGACUUUCAAGCAUCUGAUUAUGAGCAACAGCCUCAACAAGCUCACUAGACUUCACAACAAGCUCAUCUUCCAAAGCCUCAAAGGAGGCCAUCAUUUCCUCAAUCUUAUCCUUUUGAUCCUUAGUAUUAGAUGCAGACUCUUGUAGCAGGCUCAAAUCAAAUAAUAAUCCCUUUAAAAUGUCAUCCUUCCUCAAUAGCUCAGCCUGGAGACUCAUGUUGUCAGAUACCAACUGUUUAGCAUGACACUCCAAACACUCAAUUUCUUUUAUGAACUGGAAUGUCCUCUCUGUAGCUUCACAUAUCUCAUGGAACAUUUUUUCUACAACCAUAUUACUUUCUUUCUCCAGUAAAUUAAAAAACUUAUGAGAAGUCACAUUCACAUUCCCCAGUGAAUCAACACACUUCAUAGUAUUCAAGCUUGACAAGGCAAGGGCUUCCAGUGUAGCUUUCUUGUGAGACUUGAGUUCCUUCUUCAAAAGAAUCUUCUCAUUCUUCAAUGUAUUGACGUCAUUGACAAAUAUUUGCAAAUCCUGGCCCUUUGAGCUUAAAUCUUCCAUGACAACAGACUGAUAAUGCAAGAGUUCAUUCACCUUAGCACUUUUGAUUUUCAGAUCAGUCUCUAGGCCCGCAAUAUGAGUCUCCAAGGACAAAAUUCUAUCCUGCAAUCUGUGAUUUUUCAUGUCUGAGGUGCUUAUACGGCUUGAAGACAAUUCAAUUUCAGAACUCUUCUCCUCCAAAUCUUUGAGAAACAGGCUAUUAUCUAUCUUCAACUUCCAGACCUCACCUUUAAGUGAUUCAUUUUCCCCUUCCAAGCAUUUAAUUCUGCUGAGUUCUCCAUCUUUAUUGUCCAGCUCACUUUGAAGUGUGCUCAUUGAAGUUUCCAACAGGCAAAUGUCCUCCUGCAACUUCUGGUUUUGUUGAUCAAGGAUGGAAAUAUGACUUGAAGAACUAUCCAAUGCUGUUUCUUUAGCCUUCAAAUCCUUUAGCAGUUUCUCACAUUCAACUUCAAGUUUUUCAACCUGGCUUAACAGUCUCACUUUGGCUUCCAUAGCUUCACCCAUUUCACCCUUCAAUGCAUCAUUUGAACAAGCAAAAUCCUUCAGCAGUUGAAUUUCCCCUUCAAGGGCCCUGUUUGCCUCUUCUAUCUCUACAACUCUUAAAUGGCUUUGGUUCAGCCUUGACAAUAAAUACUGAGCCUCCCUUUGCGCUUCUUCAACUUCCUUUUGUAGAAGAGCAACCUCAGCAUCCUUGGCCAACAGAACUUGAUCUUUCAAAUUUCCAUCCACCAUUAAAAAAAUCAUUUCUUCCUUCAAAUGCUCAAGGUCAGAACCACAAUUGAUGUGCUUUCUCUCAGCUAUAACUUUCUCAAUAAACAUCUCUUCUAGCUGUGAUGCCAAGACAAGUGACUCAAUGUCCUUCGACCACAACUCUAUCAUAAAUAGCUCAGCCUCAGAAUUUAGAAGCUCCUCUUUCUCUUUCCGCAUUAUCUCUUGAUCAAUAAGGGACUCAUCAAUUUUUCUGUUACUGAAGUCUAAAUCCUUCAUUAGAAUAGAAAGCUGUGAUCCCAUAUAGUUAGACCUUUGUAGCAUCAAUUGCUCUUGCAACUGUAGAUCAAAGAUCUUUUUCUCAAAACUGUUUAGCUUAGUGCUAAGCUCCCCAGUUUCUGUUUCUUUCCUCAAGAUCCGAUCAAAACUGUUCUUCAUGUCAGCCAGCAAUUUCCCCUUCAAAGUUCUGCACAUUUGGAGCUCUCUAUUUGACUUAGAAUUGUGCUCUCUCAGACCAGCUAUAAUAGUGUUUGAUUCACACAAGCCAUGUUGAAGCAAUCCAUUUUCUGUGUUCAGCCCUGUUACUGUUUCCAACAGAAUGCCCAUAUGACAGAGGUGAAGCACUGAUACAGCAGAAUCCUUCAUGAUUAUCUCAGACCAGACAUCUUCGAGCCAUGAUCGCACCAACUUCCCUUUGUCUAAAACUAAAGUCUUAAUAGAAUGAAAAUCACAUGCCAGAGACUUUAAAUUUUCCUUGAAAGUGGUCUGGAGCUUUGCAAUACUAUCCUCCAGCUCCUCAACCAGAUCAUUUGUUUCCAUCAAGUUUAAGCCAAACUGCUUUUCAAGAUCUUCAACCUGCAGAUCCUUGAGAGAAUUGAGCGAAUGCAAUCUCUUGACCUCAUUAAUUAGCAUAUCCUUUUCAUUAGUUAAUGUGAUUUCUAUUUCUUUCAGCCUUUCCAUAUCCAGUUUCAUUGUUUCAUUUGCUAUUAUCAGCUCAUUGAUCAUGAUAUCAGCUUCUUUCAUGGUAUCUUGGGCCUCUUCAAAUUUAGCAAAAAUACAAGAAGCCUCUGCUGCCUUUUGGGCUGCAACCAUCUUUGCAUCACCAACUUCCAUCUCAAGAAACUCUUUUGUUUGGCACCAAUGAGUUCCAGCUUCUUGGACAAUCUGUUCAAAUGACUGUAACUUAUGAUUAAUGGCAUUCAUCUUAAGUUCAAACAGAUUUUCAAAAUUACUCAUAUCUGCUUGAAUUGCAAGUAUGAGAGUUGUGAAGCAUUUUAAGCUCUCCUGACUUCGUUUCUCAGAUAUCCGUAUUUCUUCUUUCUCACUACGUAGUUUAGCCAUCUCCACUUGAACCUCUUGCAAGCUUUCAAGGGCAGACUCUAUUUCCUUUUUGAGAAGAAUAAUGGUAACGUCUCGAUCACUUACAUCCUUGGAAGUCCUGAAUUCCUCUGAUUUUCUACAACGGGAUCCUUUUUCAAGAGAACACUCAGGGACAUGAGCUCUUAAGUCCUCUCCAGCAUCUGUCCGCCCAUUGCUGCUGUCAAGAGGCACACAAGCUACAUUUGUUUCAUUCAUUUUAGCACUUCUAUCAUGCUUCAAAGAGAUGCUCAUGCAUGACAUGAGUGAGGAUACACCAGUUUUCAGCUCAGUUAGUUUCUCUCUUGUCUUCAAAAUGUCAUUCUCUUCUUCUUCAAGCUUUUGUUCCAUAAAAUUAGCACGUUUCUCCUCUUCCAAGAGUCUCCGUUGAAGUUGAGCACAUGUAUCCUUCAAUUGCACUUGUUUCAUUCUCAAGGACUCAAUCUCUUCCUCAGCCUCUUUAAUAGCAGCGGCCUGAUUUUCUAGGAGGGCACAUUUCCUCUGAUUAAUCUCUAUUGAUUCACUAAGUUGGAAAUCCUUGUACUUUAAUUCAUCGAGAUUAUUAACAUUCAACUCUGAAAGCCUAUUCACAAUCACAAAAGCGGCUGUUGCACAAAUUGAUGAUUUAUUAGCAUGAAGUUGUGCCAGCUUCACCUUGCCCUCCAGCUCUGCAACGGUAGUUGUUUUCUCUUUUAAAAGAGACUUCAAGAGAAAAUUUUCU
rnacentral:misc_RNA from 1 species